ACACAAACAUCAAAUGAGAAUGCGAAAGUUAAAAUAGGUGGAAAUUUUUGAGCAUCAGAAAGAAUAAGGGAUGUGUUCAGAGUUGAUGAACACUGUGAGAAGAAGCAGAAAAAUAGUUUAAAAAAUGUCUAUCCGAACUUUGAGUAACUUUGGGUUGUCAAAUACAUAAAAAAAAGCAAACCAAACUGAAAACCACCCCUCACAAAAACCCAAAAAAACCAAACCACCCCUCCCAAAAAACCAACCAACUAAACAAACAAAAACCAACCAAAAAAAAACUCCAAUGAGAAAACAAAAAAAAUACCCUCCAAUUCAAGCCCAAACAGAAAAGGAAGGGUAUGGUGCAGUUCAGAUAUAUUUGCCCUGAAACUCUGGAUUUAAGAAAUCAUAGAAGAAACAAACAGACACAACUCAGCAUAAAAGAAAUUACCCUUAUUCAUACAAAUGCAGCAGAAAGUUUUCAUUAAAAGCAACAAAAUGUUACAAUAACUCUACUAUUGUGACAGAAAUUACUUUCUUAAUCUGCACCACAGAUUAUGUUCACAUAAGGUUUCAGUCAACCCAUUAAUUUUUAUCUGCUCUUUUGCUGUUUCAAGAAAGAACCAGGAAGAUUAUCUACAGUCUUCUCUCAUUUAAGACAAAUGCAGUCCUGAUGACUGUGGCCUGAAGGGAAGAACUGCCUUCCUCCCAGAAAAGGAGAAGAACUGUUAAUAUUUGGCAACAGGAGAGAAACAAAGGGAUGUCUCUGAGACACAGUUUUCUGCUGGUGUACAAGAAGAGAAAUGCCAUGCAUUUUCAGUUGUCAUCUGAGAGGGAUCCUACACACUGGCUCUGGGAAGGAAACUGCCUUUGGUUAGAGCAACUUGGGUCUGGACUCAAAUGGACACUUCACAGAACAGAGGUAUCCAAAGACAGGGUGCAAGCAGAAGAAAGCAUCACGGAGCUGCAAAUAUGGUUCCAGCAGAACAUUAGGUGCUUUGUACAGGAGUCAUUCAAAAUGUCAUUGAUUAUCAGCUCUCUCUCUCUGUGUUACUUCCACAGUCAUGUCUUCUCAGAGCUGCUAUGGCUCCUGUGAUAACUAGUAUGGUAAGUACAGUUCCUCUGCUUCAGCAAACACCAGCAGUAACCCCUGAUCAGACUGAGCCAUUGGGAGACAGAGCAUGCUGCAGACAUCCCACCAAACCUGCUCAGUGGGAUGGCACAAGCACCUAACAGAAUAAGAAAGUUGGUCCUCGUGUCCUUCCCCUGUGGCCACAAACAUGACCUGAGACGUGCCCCUCUCCAUUCUGCUGCUGUGUACCUUCUGAGUGAAGCUAUAGGAUCAAGAUCCCUGCCCUUGUAUCCCAGGUUGUUUGUGGCCACAGGGGAAGGACAUGAGAAGCAACUUUCUUGUUAUGUUAGGUGCUGUGCAGAAAGGAAGGCAUUCCCCCUUGUAUCAAAAAUGCUCAAGGUCUACUGCCAGCCAUAAAUCAUUUUUCCUUCACAAGAUUAAAUAAAUUUGUAAAGAAACUACAUUCAUAUUUAAGAAAUCUGAGCAGCAAAAUACUAAGCACAGAUAGCUUUCCUUCCUUUUAAAUAUUUCUCAGGAAAUGCAGCCUUUAUGCUUCUAUUUUAUUUUAUACAAGAAAGACCAAGUUAUGAAGACUAUUUCACAGAAAAUAAAAAAUAAUUAAAGAAAGUAACAAAAGUCACUGCCGAGUUUGCUGCAGGAAGCACAAUCCAACAGCCUCUAGUACUUGGAAGGACACGAUAGGGGUACUUUAUUGUUUGUACUUGGGCAUUAAGAAGCACAUGAAAAAACAAAACACUCCAGAUUCUUCAGAAUCUUGCAAAGUUUCAUCCUGCUGUAUCUCAUUAUAAAAUGGUCUAUGGUUUUUUACAUAGAAUUGAACAGAAGAACUUUAAAAUUAUGAUGAAAUUUUUAAAAUAUUGUUUUACACGCCCUCUGAAAAGUACAAUAAAACAUAGAUCCUUCAAAACCUGCUAGGUGCUGUCUACACAGAGUGCCAGGCUUUCUGCCUGUGCUAGUCAGUAAACAAAAUCUCAUGGGUUUGGGCUAUUUGGGAUUAGAGUUUCAAAUUCUAUUAAGAGCACAAUUUAAGGCAUUGUUGUAAUUGUUUCAGAAGAAACAAUCACUCCUCAGUUCAGGAUUAAAACCUAGUAUUUGUGUUUAAAGGGUCAUUUAAAAUCUGAAUGCUAAUAGGUGAAUGUGGCUUACCUUCAGGAGCCAGUGAAUGGUAGCUCAUGUACUGAAUUCUGCAGAUCUUUUGUUUGUUUCUGUGAUGUUUUGAAUGUGCACUGAAUGCUUGAAUUUUUCUGUCACUUGCACUUCCCAAACCUCCUAUCUAUCCUUAUAGAAGGGGCUUUUUUCACUGAUUUUCCAACAUGAAUCUAGCUGUAUGACAAAUGCAUAAGGUAUUAAAGUAGUAGGUGCCUCUGCUUCUUACCUGUGAGUAUGAUGAUACCAUCUUUUCAUGAUCAGAAAGCUCCAUGUGGAAAAUAUUCCACAGCUUUUAUUUAUAAUUCAUUGCUGCCAGCCUACACUUAUCCCACUGCAUAUAGUUAUUUGCUUAUUUUUAGUAUAUACCUUUUAUCAACUGGACUAUUCUGUAAGUUGCAUUUCUUCCCAAUACCCACUAGAUACCAUUUACUUAACUGUUCACAUUCAUUUUUGUGCUACAAGUGAAAUCAAUUGCCUAUCUAUUGCAGGGAGAUGUAGAAGCAAACAACAAGCAAGGCAGCAAGGUAAAUCAUUCCAGGUGGAGGAUUUCCAGCCCACCAGGUGCAAGGCUGUGCCUAGCAGCACCUCCCUUGCCCAGGGGCAAGUGGAGCAAGAGGGAAGGCGUAUUACAGACCUGAGGGGAGCUGCACAGGAUGGUCAGUGUCUCAUCUGAGUGACCAGUGCCACCAUGAGUUGGUGUCCAGUAGAAGUGUAUGGGGGUUUUGUUUGUUUUUCUUUGAAGGCUGAUUUUUCUAGAAGAGCAAGGGCUGAAGCUGGAAGCAGUAACUCUGUUGUGAGAGCACUGCUCUGCCUUGUAACAAAGGCUCUGUUGUGCUGGCACACAGCACAGUGCCCAAAGCUCAGGAUGUUUUCAGCCUAUUUGCUUUCAUUUGUAUUUGAGUUAAUCUGGCACAGCUGCUGGAGAAUAACACCAUAUAUUAAGGGUCAUUUUAAUCAAAUGGAUCCUUGAUACUCUGAUUUCUUCCUACUGGCAGUUUGCAUGGAAAAGGCAAUUAACUACAACUCUAAACUGAUGGCAUGACCUUAAAAAUAUUAAUUAUGUCAGAGUCUGUCCUGGUCACUCAUUCAAAAAAUGGAGCAUGGAAAACAAAAGUCAGAAAACCUGUUGCAGUAUUUUUAUAUUUAAACUAGCAUAUCUCCAACCAGAGUACAAAUGAGUGACUUUUGGGUAAUUCUCUCUUAUGGAAGGCACUGCAAGAAUUCUGUCCCUCCUCUGCAGGAGAAGCCUUGUUCUGUCUUUGAGAAAAGACUCUAGUUGGGACCAGAAAAAUUGAGAAACAGGGUCUAUAUCCUUUUGGACUGAAUUCCUUUCCCUCUCUCUCCCACUCCUCUCCUCUCCCAAAAGUAGCCACAAGAAAAUUUAUCAGGAUUAAUGAGUUUAUGUGUACUGAAAAUUAGAGAUCUACAAGGCAAAGCAAAACCACUCAAUUUAUAGUAUAGGCUAUGUGAUAGGAAUGGUUCACAGAGUGUAAUAAGUGCACUAUGGAGGAUCUUAGACAUGUGAAAUCAGAAAGCAAAAUUAAUGUAUGACAAUCAGCUGUAGUUUUUCCUUUGUUUAUUUUUGUCUUGCUCCUUUUAAAGAUAUAUGUGCCAGAGAGUCCCACUGAGCUUUCACGUGUCAGGCAUCAGAUGACUUACCUGGUGUUCUGAAUUACUAUUUGUCCUUCAGUCAGAGCUUACAAAGAUCCAGCCUGAGAGAUCUCAAGUCAAUAUUGAUGAAUAGUGAAAGUUUCUAUUAUCUUAACUUUUUCCCACAAGUGUGCAAUAAGCAUAAAUGUAGAAGAGCGAUGUAGAAGUUCUAUCUGGCACAUUUUUAAAUCAUUAGUGAACACACCUAAAGAGGUUCUGUACAGCAAUUUACUUUUGUUGGGAAGCUGAUGAAGAUAACUUAUCUCUGUUUGUCUCUACAAAGAAGUAAUUAAAAUGUGAAGGAAGUAA